AGCAAAAGUAGAGGUUGCGCGAAUCAAGAGUAGACCGCCGGAUGCAGCAGGUGCAGACGAGGGCGGUGGAAAGGGAGAGCGCCGAAGAGGAGUACUUCCUGACAGUACAAAUCUGGGCAUAUGGUGAAGAACCUUAUGACUGUCAUCCGUGUCUGGAUGGGGAGCUACUUAAAGG
rfam:Clostridium hathewayi WAL-18680 genomic scaffold supercont1.1, whole genome shotgun sequence.